rnacentral:rRNA from 1 species
GGCAGAGGGUGCAAACGUUGUUCGGAAUUACUGGGCGUAAAGCGCGUGUAGGCCGUCUCGAAAGUCGGAUGUGAAAGCUCUGGGCUCAACCUAGGAAGUGCAUCGAAACUUCGAGACUCGAGUCCUGGAGAGGAUCGCGGAAUUCUCGGUGUAGAGGUGAAAUUCGUAGAUAUCGAGAGGAACACCGGUGGCGAAGGCGGCGAUCUGGACAGUGACUGACGCUGAGACGCGGAAAGCGUGGGGAGCAAACAGG